rnacentral:rRNA from 1 species
UAGAAGCAGCCAUCAUUUAAAGAAAGCGUAAUAGCUCACUGGUCGAGUCGGCCUGCGCGGAAGAUGUAACGGGGCUAAACCAUGCACCGAAGCUGCGGCAGCGACGCUUAUGCGUUGUUGGGUAGGGGAGCGUUCUGUAAGCCUGUGAAGGUGUGCUGUGAGGCAUGCUGGAGGUAUCAGAAGUGCGAAUGCUGACAUAAGUAACGAUAAAGCGGGUGAAAAGCCCGCUCGCCGGAAGACCAAGGGUUCCUGUCCAACGUUAAUCGGGGCAGGGUGAGUCGACCCCUAAGGCGAGGCCGAAAGGCGUAGUCGAUGGGAAACAGGUUAAUAUUCCUGUACUUGGUGUUACUGCGAAGGGGGGACGGAGAAGGCUAUGUUGGCCGGGCGACGGUUGUCCCGGUUUAAGCGUGUAGGCUGGUUUUCCAGGCAAAUCCGGAAAAUCAAGGCUGAGGCGUGAUGACGAGGCACUACGGUGCUGAAGCAACAAAUGCCCUGCUUCCAGGAAAAGCCUCUAAGCAUCAGGUAACAUCAAAUCGUACCCCAAACCGACACAGGUGGUCAGGUAGAGAAUACCAAGGCGCUUGAGAGAACUCGGGUGAAGGAACUAGGCAAAAUGGUGCCGUAACUUCGGGAGAAGG